CGCGUAGGCGGUUUGAUAAGUCAGAUGUGAAAGCCCACGGCUUAACUGUGGAAGUGCAUUUGAAACUGUCAGACUUGAGUAUCAGAGGGGAAAGUGGAAUUCCCGGUGUAGAGGUGAAAUUCGUAAGAUAUCGGGAGGAAUACCGGUGGCGAAGGCGACUUUCUGGCUGAAUACUGACGCUGAGGCGCGAAAGCGUGGGGAGCAAACA
rnacentral:rRNA from 1 species